AUAAAGUCUAAACACUCUAAACUAAAUUGUGACCACUUCUUCUGAGUUCUGAUCAUCAACCUAAAUCGUGACCACUUCUGAGUUCUGAUCUUCAGCUGAAACUGAAAUCGUGACCUUCAGCCGCUGAAGUCUCGUCCCCGUUGCUCGUCGCCGCCACUGCUCGUCGCUGCUGCUUAUCGCUGCUGCUCGUCGCUGCUGCCCAUCGUUGUUGCUCGUCGCCGAGUCUCCGCCACUGUUACCACGUGCUGCAGCCGCUGUCAGCUGCUGCUGCUGCCACUGUCACCAACAACUCUCAGCAGAACAAGGUUUUAUGAAUUUAAAAAGCUAUAGCUAUAAUAUUUUGUUAUCAUUGGGGCCAUAUAAAUUCGUGAGAAUCCCAGAAAUUGCAUUGAAUUUUUACUGAAUCUGAUAAGCCCGGCAUAUCUUAAUCCCAGCUAUUUUGGCUAUAGCGUACCAUUCAUUCGUUAGCUCCAAGGGCCCAUCAACAGGCGUUUUCGGGAAUCGGCUGCGGGGCGAAUUUGGGGUAAAUGCAAGAGGAUAAAAAAAAGCUAUAGCCAAAAUAGCCAAGAGGAUCCCAAGGGCCCCGUCAAUAAGAAUUUGCAGACUUGCAUAAAUAAAUUAUGUAUGAUGCUAUAAAUGAUGCCCAUUAGCCAGACUUGCAUUCUCAGCAAUUCUUCUCCAUUUCUUAAUCCUUUUAUCCAUAUGCUUUGUUAAUGCACAAUACUGUUGAAUAAACUUUGUAUUCCUUUUAUCAGUUUGUUUGAGAUUAAAAUUGGAGGUAAUAAAAUGUUGUUUUGAUUUCAAUUGAGAUGUAUUUAGCUUGAAACAUUGACUUCAUGAAACUAAUUUUGACACUUGAUUUUCUGAUCGAAUUUAUGAUUAUAAUUGGUGAGGAUGAUUUGAAUUUAAUUGCAUGCCAUCAGCCAGGCCAGUGUUGGAAUGUCAUAAUAUUUUUUAUUUGUAAUCCCCAAGAUUUUUUAUUUGUUGCUUCUGUUGUAUUGAUUUGUUGUUGUAG
rnacentral:lncRNA from 1 species